rnacentral:rRNA from 1 species
CAGCAGCCGCGGUAAUACGUAGGGUGCGAGCGUUAAUCGGAUUUACUGGGCGUAAAGCGUGCGCAGGCGGCCCGUUAAGACAGGUGUGAAAUCCCUGGGCUCAACCUAGGAAUUGCGCUUGUGACUGGCGGGCUCGAGUACGGUAGAGGGGGGUGGAAUUCCUGGUGUAGCAGUGAAAUGCGUAGAGAUCAGGAAGAACACCGAUGGCGAAGGCAGCCCCCUGGGCCUGUACUGACGCUCAUGCACGAAAGCGUGGGGAGCAAACAGGAUUAGAUACCCUGGUAGUCCACGCCCUAAACGAUGGGUACUAGCCGUUUGGUGCGCGAUAGCGCUGAGUGGCGAAGCUAACGCGUGAAGUACCCCGCCUGGGGAGUACGGCCGCAAGGCUGAAACUUAAAGGAAUUGGCGGG